CAAAUCUAUGUUGCGAUUGUCACACCGAAUCUGCAUCUACACUAAUACCUCUGACGUGGCGACCUUUUGUCAGUCAAUGUUGCAUGUGCCAGGGGACGGACUAUUUGCGGCGAGGUCGCCGCUAAUAGUCUGGUGGGGUUGACCAUUGACCUGGUGGUGUUACCCUGUGCCAAAAAUAAAGAGAAAAAUAGUCUGUAUCUCUCUCUCUCUCUUAAGAAUAUCACACUUACUGUAUCUCAUAAACACACAAAUAUUUCUGUUCCCUCUCCCUUCUUGAACUCACAAUAUGAUCUUUCUGAAUUUCUUUUAACUCUCUCUGUUAAAAAAAUCAUCACAUCUCUACAAUAACUCUCUGCUUUCUUUUUUUUUUUUAAUUCAAAACACUCUCAAUUGAUUAAACACGAAAAUGAUUCAGACUAACACCACUCACAAACACGGUUAUAAAGCUCGACUGAUGAACAAAACAAGAGACUCAAGCAAGACUCAACCACACAGCCACGAUUCAAGAGAUAAACAAUUUGUUCUAUAUGCCGAGCUUAUUGCUCGGUAAAUGGGUAAUUAUCAAUCUUCUGCACCAAGAAUGGGAAACGGAUGAAAAUUGAUUUGGUAAAAGAUAUUUGAAAAACUUUGAAAUUUUGGUUGAUUUCUUCUAUUUGCCGAGAUGUGAGCUCGGCAAAUGGUUGAAGUUGGAUGAAAAUUGGUUAAGUAUAGGACAAUAGGUCGAAAUGUAUUGUUUGCAGAGGUAUGAGUUCGGCAAAUGCGGGUAUUGGUGGUCUUGGUUGAAUUUGCAGAAGUCAGGAACGGAUAUAUGGUGUUUGCCGAGCUCGGUAAACACGAGAAUUCGUUACUUCGGCAAAUGAAAAAUGGUGAGUUCAAGAUGAACACGGCGACCGGAAAAUUCAACAACCUCCCCGGAAAAUGUAAAAAUGCCAAUUACUCCUCUUUUACACCGAAAUAGAACACGAAGUUAGCAUCAAAACCUUUAGAAUCUCACUCCGCACAAAUCAUUAUUAACAAAAAUUGAUUAUGAAACUCGCCGGAAAAAUCGAUGUCUCGCCGGAAAACUCAACUGACACUAAAACUCAGCCAAUCGAAAGACUGAAAGCAUGAAAAUAAUCACUGUUUCAACGCGAAUAUAAACGUAUCAGUUUCAAAUCAGAUUGAUGAACAACAACCGAGUAAUCGAAGAGAGAAGUUCUUGAGAAAUUUGUUGUUAAUUUUCUGGUUGUUUUUUUUAUUUUUAUUUUUAUUUUUUAAAUAAUUGAAAAAUGUAAUAUUCAAUGUAAACUAAGGACAAUGACGAGUGAUCGAAAAGCGUGUUGUUACUGUAGCCACAGGAAUAUGAAAAGUGUAAUACAGAUAUUGACUAUUUCUUCUUUUGAAUGUAUCAUUUUAGUUA